AGCGAUGAAGAGUUUGAUCCUGGCUCAGGACGAACGCUGGCGGCGUGCCUAAUGCAUGCAAGUCGCACGCGGUGCCUUCGGGCACUGAGUGGCGAACGGCUGAGGAACACGUGGGG
rnacentral:rRNA from 1 species